rnacentral:rRNA from 1 species
CUUUUGGCAGGAAAGAGCCGUCAUGGGCUAAUACCCCGUGAAAUGGCGGGUGGCUGCAGAAUAAGCACCGGAUAACUACGUGCCAGCAGCCGGGGUAAUACGUAGGGUGCAAGCGUUAAUCGGAAUUACUGGGCGUAAAGCGUGCGCAGGCGGUUGGGAAAGAAAGAUGUGAAAUCCCAGAGGUUAACUUAGGAGCUGCAUUUUUAACUACCGAGCUAGAGUGUGUCAGAGGGAGGUGGAAUUCCGCGUGUAGCAGUGAAAUGCGUAGAUAUGCGGAGGAACACCGAUGGGGAAGGCAGCCUCCUGGGAUAACACUGACGCUCAUGCACGAAAGCGUGGGGAGCAAACAGGAUUAGAUACCCUGGUAGUCCACGCCCUAAACGAUGUCAACUAGCUGUUGGGGCCUUCGGGCCUUGGUAGCGCAGCUAACGCGUGAAGUUGACCGCCUGGGGAGUACGGUCGCAAGAUUAAAACUCAAAGGAAUUGACGGGGACCCGCACAAGCGGUGGAUGAUGUGGAUUAAUUCGAUGCAACGCGAAAAACCUUACCUACCCUUGACAUGUCUGGAAUUCCGAAGAGACUGU